CCUACGGGCGGCAGCAGUGGGGAAUAUUGGACAAUGGGGGCAACCCUGAUCCAGCCAUGCCGCGUGUGUGAAGAAGGCCCUCGGGUUGUAAAGCACUUUCAGUGAGGAAGAACGCCUGGUGGUUAAUACCCAUCAGGAAAGACAUCACUCACAGAAGAAGCACCGGCUAACUCCGUGCCAGCAGCCGCGGUAAUACGGAGGGUGCGAGCGUUAAUCGGAAUUACUGGGCGUAAAGCGCGCGUAGGUGGCUUGAUAAGCCGGUUGUGAAAGCCCCGGGCUCAACCUGGGAACGGCAUCCGGAACCGUCAAGCUAGAGUGCAGGAGAGGAAGGUAGAAUUCCCGGUGUAGCGGUGAAAUGCGUAGAGAUCGGGAGGAAUACCAGUGGCGAAGGCGGCCUUCUGGACUGACACUGACACUGAGGUGCGAAAGCGUGGGUAGCAAACAGGAUUAGAUACCCCGGUAGUC
rnacentral:rRNA from 1 species